rnacentral:rRNA from 1 species
UACGGAGGUUGCAAGCGUUGUUCGGAUUUACUGGGCGUAAAGGGAGCGCAGGCGGCCAAGUCAGUCCAAAGUGAAAUCCCGGGGCUCAACCUCGGGCGUGCUUUGGAUACUGCUUGGCUUGAGUACGUGAGAGGUAAGCGGAAUUCCAGGUGUAGCGGUGAAAUGCGUAGAUAUCUGGAGGAACACCGGUGGCGAAAGCGGCUUACUGGCACGAGACUGACGCUGAGGCUCGAAAGCGUGGGGAGCGAACGGG